UACGGAGGGUGCGAGCGUUGUCCGGAAUCAUUGGGCGUAAAGGGCGCGUAGGUGGCGGGACAAGCGUGCGGUGAAAGCCUGGGGCUCAACCCCGGGUCGGCCGUGCGAACUGUUUUGCUUGAGCACUGUAGAGGCAGGCGGAAUUCCGGGUGUAGCGGUGGAAUACGUAGAUAUCCGGAGGAACACCAGCGGCGAAGGCGGCUUUCUGGUCCGAUUCUGACGCUGAGGCGCGAAAGCGUGGGGAGCGAUCAGG
rnacentral:rRNA from 1 species